rnacentral:rRNA from 1 species
GAAGCGGGGGAUAACACCUGGAAACAGAUGCUAAUACCGCAUAACAACUUGGACCGCAUGGUCCGAGCUUGAAAGAUGGCUUCGGCUAUCACUUUUGGAUGGUCCCGCGGCGUAUUAGCUAGAUGGUGGGGUAACGGCUCACCAUGGCAAUGAUACGUAGCCGACCUGAGAGGGUAAUCGGCCACAUUGGGACUGAGACACGGCCCAAACUCCUACGGGAGGCAGCAGUAGGGAAUCUUCCACAAUGGACGAAAGUCUGAUGGAGCAACGCCGCGUGAGUGAAGAAGGGUUUCGGCUCGUAAAACUCUGUUGUUAAAGAAGAACAUAUCUGAGAGUAACUGUUCAGGUAUUGACGGUAUUUAACCAGAAAGCCACGGCUAACUACGUGCCAGCAGCCGCGGUAAUACGUAGGUGGCAAGCGUUGUCCGGAUUUAUUGGGCGUAAAGCGAGCGCAGGCGGUUUUUUAAGUCUGAUGUGAAAGCCUUCGGCUCAACCGAAGAAGUGCAUCGGAAACUGGGAAACUUGAGUGCAGAAGAGGACAGUGGAACUCCAUGUGUAGCGGUGAAAUGCGUAGAUAUAUGGA